rnacentral:tRNA from 1 species
GAGGGUAUAGCUCAGUGGUAGAGCACAUGCUUGACAUACAUGUAUGUGGCUCUGGGUUCAAUCUCCAGCACCAAUA